rnacentral:piRNA from 1 species
UGAUCUUUGUGGGAUUUAAGAUGUACACCU